GGCGAAGACAAGGGAGAUCCGGCUACGUCCCUCCCCUAGGUCUCUGGAAGCUGAAGCCGCUGCAGCCAAGGCCUGGUUUCAUUCUGGCUGGGGGCUGAGGGCUGGAGUUGGACAGCCGGCCUCUCUGCGGUUCCCCCAUUAUGGCUUGGCAUCAGCAUCUAGAUUGCAGGAUUGAUGGAGCCACAAACCUCCUGCAGGGGCCCCCAGAGGUUCUUGCAUCCAGUGUGGCAUCCAGACAGUGUGUGGUUAAUGAGUCCGAAGAAAGGACCAGCGUCGGUGAGCUUUGGGUGUCUGUUUUGGAGGGUGAAGGAGGAUGGUCUGCAGCGGGUCAUGGUGGGUGGUCUGUCCAGAUGUGGAUCCCUGUUAACAUCCUAGUUCCUGUUCUUCAGGAUUUACCAACAAACCAACAAAUUGGUCCCCACAGGACAUGCCUGGCGGAGGGGGGUGCCCCCAACCCUAUGAAGUGUGUCCAGAAUCCUUGUUAUCUGCCUCCCUUUCCUGGAUUGUAACCCCCACUUCCAUUCUGGCCUUCCUUUUCCAACAGGGAGUAGCCGAGGAGCCCUAGGAAGGCAUCUCUGACCCCACAUCUCCCCAGCACCCUGAAAAAGUCCCUGAUGUGGAUGUUCUAGACUCCAGAUUAAGCCUCCCCCUCUUGCAGAGCCCAGCAUAAAAUGCAAAUUCUCCUGGGAGGUGCAACACUUUGAAUCUGUGCUGUCUUCUAGUGGAGGAGACCGGCAGCCCUGCAGGAGCACCUGGAGCACCUGGCUGUGGAGGGGCUUCUGGAAGGAAGCACAGGAGCAGAGGAAGGAGAAGGAGUUCAAAUGCCCGUACCUCCCGGGAGUUCCCAUCGUGGCGCAGUGGAAACGAAUCCAACUAGGAACCAUAAAGUUGCAGGUUUGAUCCCUGGCCUCGCUUAGUGGGUUAAGGAUCUGGUGUUGCUGUGAGCUGUGGUGUAGGUUGAAGACGCG
rnacentral:lncRNA from 1 species